CCCCCUGCAGUGCACAUGGUUUUAGCCAUUAGAUGAAAAUGUUAUUUUGCAAUCAACCUUGAAUUAGGCCCAUAGUUCAAUGGUUCCCAAGCUGUGUGCCUCAGGACACUUGCAAGGGUGCCUCGGGUUGGUGGUUCUGGACCAAUUCAAAUUAUUUAUAGUCAAUGUAAGAUACAAAAACAGUGCUGCUGGCUUCAAAUCAUAAAAUACCUGGACAAACAGAUGCAAAUAUUAUCUCUCAACACACAUAUUUAACAAAUUUCUCAAUAAGAAAUGUUUGGCCUAGGGGUGCCGUGAAAAAGAUUUGUCUAAAAAUUUUGGGAAACAUUGAUAUAGUCAAUAGAGCCAUAGUAUAACAAAUACAUUUCUGUAGAUUGAAGACCAAAUGUCUGAAAAGUCCUGCCUGCAGGUGUGCAUAAGUGUAUAAGUUGACCGUGAUAAUUUGUGAAUCUUUUCACGUCAGGGUGUGGAAUUUGGGUUAGUAGAUGAAAAUCCUUGACCCCCUGAAAAGCACAUAUGCAAGCAUCAGCUCGGAGAACUAAGGCAAGCGGACUGAAGAUGGAGAGACACAGAAGAGUGCUAUGUUUGUCUUUUUAUGUUUUAUUUGCAAAUAAUAAAAAUCUUGGAGCAUGGA